UACGUAGGGUGCGAGCGUUGUCCGGAAUUAUUGGGCGUAAAGAGCUCGUAGGCGGCUUGUCGCGUCGGAUGUGAAAGCCCGGGGCUUAACUCCGGGUCUGCAUUCGAUACGGGCAGGCUAGAGUUCGGUAGGGGAGAUCGGAAUUCCCGGUGUAGUGGUGAAAUGCGUAGAGAUCGGGAGGAACACCUGUGGCGAAGGCGGCCGACUGGGCCGACCCUGACGCUGAGGCGCGAAGGCGUGGGGAGCGAACGGG
rnacentral:rRNA from 1 species